CAGUCGCCGCGGGAAUACGUAGGUGGCAAGCGUUGUCCGGAAUUAUUGGGCGUAAAGGGCUCGCAGGCGGUUUCUUAAGUCUGAUGUGAAAGCCCCCGGCUCAACCGGGGAGGGUCAUUGGAAACUGGGAAACUUGAGUGCAGAAGAGGAGAGUGGAAUUCCACGUGUAGCGGUGAAAUGCGUAGGGAUGUGGAGGAACACCAGUGGCGAAGGCGACUCUCUGGUCUGUAACUGACGCUGAGGAGCGAAAGCGUGGGGAGCGAACAGGAUUAGAUACCCCCGUAGUCCCUGUCUCUUAUAC
rnacentral:rRNA from 1 species